GGUCUGAACAACCACAUUUUGAUGGUGCCUUCAUUGCGAAAGAUGCCGACGUGCACAGUUUUGUUGAGGACAUCAUGAGCAAACAGAAAAGUACGGCUGGCAGAGGAAGCUGCGGGGUCAGUCAGUGGUCCGCUGCCCGCGAAACGGCUAGAAAAGCCAAUAGACUGGACGAGGAGGGGCUUGAAGUGGUCGUCUGCAGGCAUGGGUUGCUUCUAAAGGCAGUCAACAUGUUCAGAGGCGAAAUAUUUGCCUAUCCACUUUUCCUGCAGAAGGAGCUUCAGGCAGCCACAGGCGGGCAGUUCUAUUGCACGGAUAUUGCCUGCAAGUACUGGCCCUACCUUGAGAGAUUGGCAGUCUCCAUGCUGGAACUGACCCCUUUAUUGCAGAUGAGACCAUUCCUCUCCGUCAUGCAUGCCAAAGCCCACUCAACAAAGUGUGAGAUAAUCUGGAGUGGCAGAAAUCAAGAGGGUGCUGGCACAACUGCAGGAGAAGAGGUUGAAAUGGUGAACAGCUACCUUUCUCGUUGUGGCCUCACAACCAAGUACAUGACCAAAUCUGCCAGGAAUGACAUGCUGACCAUACAUGCCAUUGGGUGGAACAAGCGGAAGCAAGAUGGUCUACAUCUUGCUUUGUCUUGCAGAUAUGUCAAGACACUGCAAAAGGCUGAGGCUGCGUCUCAGAAAUUACGUGAUUUGUGCAGUGACCUUGACUGCCCUGAGGACAUGGUGCACCAGUGGGUAGAGGACGUGAGACAGUGGGCGAAGGCUGAUGCUGUAGGUUCCGGUUCUGAUGACCAGCACCAGCUUCAAAAAUCAAUUGAAGAGAUCUUUCUUGGGGUUCAUCAGAAAAAAGCGAACCUCUACAAUCAGACCGACAGCAACAAAAUUCGUCAUUUAAGGCGAAGAAAACUCUGGACAGAGAAGAAAAAAACUCUUCGAAAAAAUCAGGCUUUAUAAUCAGCAGGUGCCAGAGGAGGAGCGCAUUGUUGAGGAGAAGGUGGAAGGAAAGCUUUCAUUGUUGGGGGGGAAAUGAUGAGGAAGACAGUCUGAUCUGGCCAUGGGAGAUGCACAGCAGUGGAAUCAGCAAUAUCGCUAAGAAAAAGAGGAUAUUCGAUGCAUGCAUGGCCAAAAUGCGUGUCCAAGAAGAAAAAGUCAUCCUUGUCAGAGAGAUGAGAAACCACUGCGCCUACCUGAACCAGCUGGCUGGGAGCAUCAGGAAAAUGACAACAGAAAUGUCUUCUGGUGAAAGCAGAGGAAAUGUAAGUGAAGAAGGCCAUCGGGGAUUGAUUUGUCUUCUUCGAAAAAGGCUUUUAGAUCUGGAGGAAAAACUCCAAGCUGUGUGUGCAAGGUACCGUCAGGCUUUGGGACCAGAUGCUAAUUCCCUGCUUCAAGAUGUCCCCGAAGAAGACAUCCAAGAGCAACACGAUGACCUGUACGAGAGCACAGACGACAGUGACUAAAAUUAAAAAAAUAAAGCGGUUCCGGCACUCCCUCCAUCACUUUUUCUAUUGGUUGAAUCUCGUUCGUAGGCAAUUAACACUCGCAUGGUGAUGCUUCAUAACCCCUAAUCCUACAGAGAAUCCUACACCCUCGAGGUAAGUGGGAAAAAAAAGUGUGUCAUAAAAUUGACAAUACCGAAGUUAUUUUCCAUGCCAUCACUUCAGGUAACAAUCAAACUAGAUUCUGCAGUGUAUUUAAAUUGCCUCCCUCAUGAUGUAAUGUUUUUGUCUGUCUUCUUGAAAAUAAAAAGUGAAAUUGUUAA
ensembl:lncRNA